AGAGCGAACGCUGGCGGCAGGCCUAACACAUGCAAGUCGAGCGCCCCGCAAGGGGAGCGGCAGACGGGAGAGUAACACGUGGGAACGUACCCUUCAGUUCGGAACAACCCAGGGAAACUUGGGCUAAUACCGAAUACGUCCGUAAGGAGAAAGAUUUAUCGCUGAAGGAUCGGCCCGCGUCUGAUUAGCUUGUUGGUGAGGUAAUGGCUCACCAAGGCUACGAUCAGUAGCUGGUCUGAGAGGAUGAUCAGCCUCACUGGGACUGAGACACGGCCCAGACUCCUACGGGAGGCAGCAGUGGGGAAUAUUGGACAAUGGGCGCAAGCCUGAUCCAGCCAUGCCGCGUGGGUGAUGAAAGGCCCUAGGGUUGUAAAGCCCUUUCGGCGGGGAAGAUAAUGACGGUACCGCAGAAGAAGCCCGGCUAACUUCGCGCCAGCAGCCGC
rnacentral:rRNA from 1 species